AUGACGUGCUUCUUACGCUUUGUAAACAACACCGUGAUAAAAUUCUCGAUAUAUCUAUACUUAGCGCAGACUCCAAGAUGUACACAAAUGGCUGUUUAAAUAUGCCUCCCACGUAAAUCCAUUUGUAUCGUAACCUAUGUGUAAACGGUUGUGGAUUUCGCUGUGUUAACAAUUACAAUUGAAUAAAACCCUACAGAACAUUUAUUCUGAUUCUGACGCAUAAC
rnacentral:lncRNA from 1 species